rnacentral:rRNA from 1 species
AUGCAUCAAAUUAAUAAUGAAAUUGAAUCCAUUCUACAUGGUCUAAUUGAAAAAAGAAUGCAAGCUAUGCAAGAAGGAGAAAAUACCAAUGAUGACUUGCUCGGCUUGAUGCUUGAGUCAAACAUGAGGACCUCGGAUGACAAUGGCCAAUCCAUCUCAGGAAUGACCAUUAAAGAGGUCAUGGAGGAAUGCAAGUUGUUAUAUCUUGCUAGGACAGAAACAACAUCAAUACUGCUCACAUGGACAAUGAUCGUACUAAGUAUGCAUCCAGAGUGGCAGGACCGUGCAAGGGAGGAGGUCAUUAGCUUAUUUGGAAAAAACAAACUUGAGUAUGAAGGCGUUAACCGACUCAAAACAGUGACCACGAUUCUUUACGAGGUACUCCGAUUGUACUCGCCUGCCGGUGGGUUCAUCCGAAAAAUGUACAAGGAGAUGAAGAUUGGUGACAUCACAUACCCUGUUGGUGUCCUCAUCGAGCUUCCUGUGUUGCAGAUGAACCACGACCCACACAUAUGGGGAAGCGAUGUUCAUGAGUUCAAGCCAGAGAGGUUCGCCAACGGGAUCUCUAAGGCGUCCAAGUAUCCCGGUGCAUUCCUACCAUUCAGUUGGGGGCCACGGAUUUGCAUUAGCCAACAAUUUGCCAUGCUUGAGGGCAAGAUGGCAUUGUGCAUGAUUCUUCAAUGCUUUGAGUUUGAGCUUGCGCUCAUGCAGUGGAUAACAGUAGAGUGA